UGAAACUGUCACAUUUGGCAACAUGACACAGCUAAAGUUAACACAUUGGCAUAACAAAUACUGCCACAGAGUUUCUUCACAAGACUUAGAGCUCUACCAGCCAGCGACAAACAGACACAAGAUGGCAUCUUUAAAAUAGCAGAUGAGGAAGAUUCAACCAAAGUGGAAUUCUUAAAUGUCCCGUGGAUCCCUCUAGACUCCUACAUGCUGGCUAAACCUCUCUGCACUGUGAAAGCUGGAGAGAUCUUGUACCUGCCCUCCUCGU